CUGGGACGUCCACGGCAUCGUGAGCUUCGGUUCUGGUGAGGGUUGCAAUGUUCUGCAGAAGCCCACGGUCUUUACACCAGUCAGCUCGUAUGUUUGGUGGAUUAAACAAGUAAUGAGCACCAACUAAAGAUGCUGCUGAUAAGAACAGCUAGCAAAUGUAAAAAAUGCACCUAGUGAAAUGUAAGGACCUUAAAAUGUAAUAUUAAAAAAUAGUAGUAUUCUAAAUGUACAAGAAUUGACUACCUAACCAGAUCACGUUUGUGGCUAUAUUUGACUUUUCCACAGUUUAUAAAAUUAGAUUAUUGCAUAAUUUUGUGAAAAACAUCAAUAAAAUACACUGAGAGAAUCCUAGAUAUUAAUAAACAAAUGCUUCCUCUUUAUUUAUCAUAAAUAUUCAUGAGAUAAAUGACUAUUCAAACUUCUGGGGAAAAAUACAUUUGUAUAAACACAGACAAGAUUUUUUUUUUCACUGCACUUAUAAAAUAUAUAAACUGUAGUCAUAAAAAGAGAACAUUAAAUGACAACACACUCAUUAUUGUACAAAAAAAGAAAGUGACUCCUACAACCAAAUACUUACAAUUAAUGUAAAACAAUUUGACAACUUGUGUAUAAAAUUGAUCUAAACUGAUUGUUU